GUGCUUACUUCGGCAGCACAUAUAUAAAGUUGGAACGAUACAGAGAUUAGCAUCGCCCCUGUGCAAGGAUGACAUGCAAAUUCAUGAAGCGUUCCAUAUUUUU
ensembl:snRNA U6 U6 spliceosomal RNA